rnacentral:lncRNA from 1 species
CACUCAUUCUUUCUUUCUUCAGCCGUUAUGAUCUGUUAUGGUCCUUCACAUAUACUUUCCUUCCUUUCUUCUAGUGCAGUUGAUUCCUGCCCUUGUUAAAUUGGUAAUACAAGACCUUGACUGUCAUGGUUCCAUGAUCUUUCUUAUCUUUCACCUUGGGCAUAUCAAGUCAUGACAUCAACCUCAAUCGAAGCUCCUUUUUAGUUUGUGCUUUCAGGUCAAGGGGUAAUAUUACAAUUCCAUUCCCAAUUGUUUCUUUUGCCCAAUGUCAUCAUCAAAAACCUCAAGUUUGAGUGAUUGAGUAUUCCUGCAAUCAAAUGAAACAUAUUAAUACAAUCAUUCAUCAUUUAACACAUAUUUGUCACAAAUUAGUAUCAUACACUUAUAAGAUUCAUUUUUUCACCAUGGAUUUCUAAUUAAUUUACAAAAAUAAUUUUGGAAAACAAUUUCAAAAUUUGUAAACUGAUUUCAAAGCAAAUUUCAGUCUUUAACAUGUUUGGAUAUAAGGUUUAACAAUUAGUUUCUUAACAAAUGUCAACUUUGGAAGAAAAAAAAAAUUCAAAAUCAAAAAUAUUUCACAGCCUUGCAAAACUAAUUAGUGUUACCAAUAUUAGUCUUUACAGUACAGUAUAAAACCCAUCUUCCUGUUAGUGUUACCAAUACCAGUUUUUACAGUACAAAACAUUCAAAAUCAUAAUUUACUAAAUUCAUAACUUUAAUUACUUAUCAAUGUUUACCCAUUUUUUAGAACAACCAUCAAAAUCCACAAACGUUAAAUACAAAGCCACAUCACAAAAUGGAAUGAAAAAUUUGAGAUAAAGGUCACCUUCAACAAAGAGAUUAAGUUUCCGACUUGAUUCCGAUGAUGUGAUUUCCAAUGAUUUUAGAACUAGGUCAUGACGGAGAGAGGGAAUAGGGUCGCACAUAGACUAUGAUGCGACGUUGAGUGUAAGCUGAGCCGACGGUGGUUGAGAGGAGACGGCGGCGGUGGGAGGAGAUUGUAAUGAUGGUUGAGGGAGAGGAGAUCGUGGUUGUUGGUUAAGAGAGGAAAGUGGUAACCGUUGUUGAGGGAAAGAGAGAGAUGGUAGAAUGAGUUUAGAGAUUGAGGGAAAAAUCAGUCUUUUUCCAUGUCACUAGGGUCUAUUUUUUAUUCUUUCUUUUGACAAGUCAG